rnacentral:rRNA from 1 species
CGGACGGGUGAGUAAUGUCGGGGAAACUGCCCGAUGGAGGGGGAUAACUACUGGAAACGGUAGCUAAUACCGCAUAACGUCGCAAGACCAAAGAGGGGGACCUUAGGGCCUCUUGCCAUCGGAUGUGCCCAGAUGGGAUUAGCUAGUAGGUGGGGUAACGGCUCACCUAGGCGACGAUCCCUAGCUGGUCUGAGAGGAUGACCAGCCACACUGGAACUGAGACACGGUCCAG